UGACAUCCUAGCUGAGCAGUUGUUCUGAAGAUGAGAGUAAGCAAUGCUGUAGGAAAAGGCUGUUAGGAAGAAAGGGAGGCAUCAGAAAGCCUGGGACAAUGGGACAGCAGGUGCUCUGGAAACUCUAAGCAGUUUGGAAUGGCUGUAGCACAUGCAAGAGGUCUCUGCGGAAGAUGCUCUUUGUGGAGUGAAUCGUUAACUGGGGAGGAGGCCACCUAGAUUCAGUUAUAGAACAUCGUGGAUUAGAUUGUCAUACAUCAAGGAGCCGAGGACCAUUCCCUGGGUAGCGAAGGCCUCCCACAGACAUCUGGGAUCCAGUGCCAAAAUAUGCAUUCUAGAGCCUUCAAGCAAAACUAGGUCUUCUGCCAGCAAGAACGCUGAAUCAAAGCUUUCUGUAUCCCACUCCCUCUAAAAACCCUUUAUCAAACUUUCACCACACAAAAAUGGAAGCAUUUCAGUCUCUGAAGCAGUUCAAUGUGACUGUGGCUACUGCAUCUUGAAGGGGAUAUUCAUUCAUUCAACAAAUGCAUUUUAAAUUCUGCAAUGUGAUCAACACCAUGCUAGACACGAGAGAUACAGCAGUGAGCAUGUGUAGUCACGGUCCCUGCCAUCUGGGAGACUCUUCUCAAAUAAAUCACAAACAAAUGUAAAAUUGCAACAGUGACCCAAAGGAGAGGGACAUACAUGGCUGAUGUGUAUUCUGCCGUCCUUCACUUUCCUUCCCUCUGUACACACAAUGCUGUUCUGCCCCUCAAGAGGUGAAGUCUUUUCCCUCCCUUGAAUCAGGACUGGCCUUGGGAAUUGCUUUGAGCAGCGUACUGGAGGGACACUGAGACUUCUGAGCCAAAGCCUUAAGAGAACGGGCAGAUCUAUUUCUACCCUCUUAGAAGCCAUUGGCCAUAUGAAAAGCCCAACUAUCCAGAGACCACCGUGGUGUGAAGAAACCAAGCUGGUCUGAGGGACAGGCUCUAUGGAGGCAGCAAUGCCCAGCCAUGUCUCCACUCUUCAGCCACCCCAGCUGAGACACCAGGCACGUGAUUGGAGAAGCCAUCUUGGACAUUCCUGCCCCAGUAAACACACGGGGAGCAGGAAGAUCACCCCGCUGAAGCCAGUCCAGACUGAAAAAUUGUGAGAAAGAAUCAAUUGUUUAAAGCUACGGAGUUUUGGGGAGGGGUGUUAUACAGCUGUAGAGCUGUUGCCAUGGGCUCCCAGAGCGCCCAAUCCCCUGUGUCCUGGACCCUUCAAGCCCUGUCUCCAGUACCCCUGGGACUGCUCCCCCUACCUGUGUGUUAGUACUAAGUGGUUAAUUCCUGGUCCAGAAGGAAGCCUCCAUGAUCUUGUCCCAGCAUCCAUUCUAAUGGGGCCUAGGUUCUGGUUGGUCAAUAUCUGCACAGUACCAGUCAAGGUUUUGAGUAGCAACCUUGGCUGCAGGGUGCUCUCAGGUCUUAUAGUGAUGGCGUUUUACCUCUUCAAAGAGUCCAGGAAAGGAGUCUGUGAGGAAGUGGCACUGAGCUGAGAUCUGAAGUGUGUAAAGGUGUGAAUUUGGUGGUGAAGGAGAGGGAGGCAUGACUUCAGAGGGGGCAUGUAGGAGGGCUUUGUGGUAGGACAGAAGACGGUGGAAAGAGGAACUGUCUGGACCUUAUAAUGCAGGGCACGGUGGAUUAGACUAGACAGCACCCUUCCCUAGGCUGGCCAAAGACCUAGGAGAGUCUGACUAAGACUGAUGCAUGCUGGAAGGUGACUGACCAGCCCAAUCAGGUCCUGUCUUUCAAAGAGUUCAAAUCAAGAUGCACCAAGAGAGCCAGUUGGUCAAGAGCAGAAGUGCAGCUGAGCCACCAUAAUGAAGGCUGGGGCUGGGGCACAGGACACCUAUCCUCAGUUGAGGACUGACCUCCAUUGUUGCUGCAAAGCAGAGGUCGCAACCCGCAGGGUGGUUGGUUGGGGUGGCCAAUGUGUCCCUUUUUUGGUCCAUCCACAUAGGGUUGCCA
rnacentral:lncRNA from 1 species